AGAUUAAUAGCUUUCCUUCCAUUUGUCAUUCCUUCCCAGUGAAUAAGAUGAAGAAGUCCAUCAGAAGUAGCAACCAGGAGAUCUUCCAGCACAGACUGCAAACUAUAGAAAAGCUUCAUUCGUCGGUGCCUCCAAGACAUAAUCCUGGGAAAAACUGCAUCUCCACCGGUUAUAGAUUUAUCCUGGAAGGAUGGGCCUGAAGCUCCGGCAAGUGGUACCACAUUAAAGAAACAGGUUUCUCCUGCAAGGAAGCAGCAUUUGUAAAAAGACUUUGAGGCAUAACGAGUCAUUUAAUAAGACUGCCACCAUUGUUGAAGACUGACUCCCAACAUCAACAAGAAGGCUGCUGGAAAUAACACUUUGUGGAAACUAUGAAAGACUUUGGGGGCAUCAGACCUGUUCUUGGAUGGAGUGUAAUGGAAAAUGACAUACCAUCUGAGAUUAAGAUGCUAUCACGUAAUACAGGGAAGUGAGAUACUCUAGAAAAACCCAUGUGAUGAACUCAAAUUAGAGAAGACAAACAAGAGACAAUAGUGGUCCUAUAACUGAGAAGAUGAACUACUACUGGCCUCAAUUAUGCUGCCUCUAUUCUUUAGGACAAUCACAUAUAAACCACUCCAGAUUAUUUCUCCUUUUUUUUGAUUCCCUAGUCCCCAAAUAAAUCCCAAAGCAGAUGACUAGAUGGGCAUAAAUAGGGUUGAGGCAGUAUAGUAUUGGUGGUAAAAAGCACAGACUUUGAAGCUACAAUUAUGUUGAAUCCUAGCUAUGCUAGUUACUACAUGUGUCACUACAGGUUUUACUUGGCCUCUCUGUGCUGCAGUCUGUGUAGUAAUUGUAUCUAAUUACCUCAUAGGGUUACUAUAGGAUUAAAUGAGUUUGAAAAAAUGCUUAGAAAAGUGUCCUAAACUGCGUAAGUGUUUACAACGGUACACGUGAUGAUGAUACACUGUCAAUAUAAACAUAUUUUUUAACUGUCCUCAAACCUGUAUAUGACUGCUAUUUUCCAGGUUUUAAAAUAUCCUCCACACAACUGAACAAAGUAUUUUUCUUCCCACUUUACAAAUAGGUUUUACAGAAAAACUGAGAAACUAACGGGACUAAGUAACGCAAACUAGAACACAGCCUAGUACACAUACACAAUAGGCUGAUUCUAAUCUGCUCUGUAAAAUUGUUUCCCUGCAAGAGAUUUUGUUUGAUUUUAUGGCAGUUACUACAAGUUAAAUUCUGAGGAAGAAGUACAUUUUCAAAUUUAAUUAAAAAAUAAAAAAACAAUAUAUAAAAUCACAUAAAUACUAGAAAUGAAGUAAAGGUUUGGUGAAGGAAAAAAAAAUAUAUUGAUAAUAGCAGCUCUUCUUUCUCAAUUUUCCAAAGAGCUAGACACUUAUCCUAAGCACUUAAUAUGCAUGAUCUCAUUUACUCCUAUUAAAUAAUUACUGUUAUUCUACACAUAAGGAAACUGAAGUUUGGAGGUAUUAAAUGACUUGAUAAAAUCAUACAGCUGAAAAGAGGGAGAGCCGAUACUCAAUUCUAGGUCUAUCUAAUGCCAAUGCCUUUAACCACUCUUCAUGCUGCUUGAAGGCAAUACGCAUUUUAUUGAGCACACAUAUUGAAACCCAAAAUCUUCAAUAUAAUGGAAGAAUGCCCAAAUUAAACAAAACAAAACCCAUAAUGCUCUUUAUUUAAUUCUCUAACAUAUACCAGUCAAAACAGCAAAGUUCAUGCCCUGUUAGAACUACUACUUAUUUUAAUGGCAUCCCUGAUGUCUCAGGGUCAGAGGGUAAGAAACUUUUUAACCUUCUUUGAAACACAAAAAUGGGUCACAUUAAUGAGUUGAAAUAAAAUAUUUUUCACUGCUUCAAGACAUGUUAUUUCCCUGGUCUGUCUGCCUACAGCAGUAUAAAUUAAUGAAGUUAAGUUCAGGUGAUUCUGACUAUAGCUUUUUAUUUAUAGGAGCAUGUCUAAAUCAAGCAAUAAAAUUUAGACGCAGUAGUUGAAAAUGUACAAGUCAACGAACUUUUAAACACUGUUUACAACAGUUCUUCAACAGGUUCACAAAACUAUUGCUUAGAAUAAAAAAGCUUUAUUACCACAAAACUGAAUUUAAAAUUUCUAAAUAUUAACUUCCUAUCACAAUAUCACAUCAUUUUAAACAGUACAGUUUACAUGCCAAAGGGCAUUAAAGAUGUUUACUGAAAAAUAAAAUAAAAAGAAUUUCUAUACUUUACAAAGAAUCUCUAAAACUUAACACAUCAGUUAACACUGUAUUUAUCACAAAAACAAGUAGCUACAGCAUCAAGAAAAUUUAGAUAAUUCCUUAAAAUCUAUGAUAAAGGGAUCUGACCUACAUUCUACAUGGCCUAUAUUAGCCUUUCCUCAAGCAUUGUUGAGAAUAUUGUGUUUACUUGAACAACUUUCAUAAUGCCAUUAAAAAAAAAAGUGUGGCCUUUUGUUUUAGAUUGAAACAAGUACACUGAUUUUCAAAAAUCACAUUGCAUAUAAUUUACACAUAUAAAACAUUUUGGAAAAUUCAAGGCUUGAGAGUCUUCAAAAUUACUAAGUUCUGAAACUUAAAGAAUAACUAAGUUCUACCAUUCAGAAACGAUUACUAUAAAUAUAUUGUUCUGGCUUUUUUUCUUUAGAUGAUUUUCAUUGUUUUGUUUUACAAAGUUAUGGUCAUAUUACAUAUAUAAUUUUGUGUGGCUUGUUUCUUCACUUGGCAUUAUAGUAUCAGGCUCUCAAGUUUUUCUGAGAUAUAUUUAAUGACUGCAUAUUAUUUGAGAAAAAUGUAACAUACUGUUAACUUUCAAACCAAUUCUCUAUGAUCACACCUUUCUGUGUAUAGUAUCUACUACUGAAAGGAUACAAGGACACUUACUAUUGCUCCACUAGCACUGAGUAAUAAUCAAAAAUUUUAAAUCCACAAUUAAUUUAUAUAUUAAAAUGUGUAGGUUAAAAAAAUUUGUAUUUAAUGUUUUGUUUUACUAGUAUUCAGUUUGACUAAUUAACGUUAAGUUUCUCUUGUAUUUGUUAGUUCAUAUUACCUCUUAUGAGACUUUUAAUCUGUUUAUCUUUUGAAAUCUUUGUGUUUCUUAGCAAUUUAUAUGACUCCUACAUAUGAAAGAGUAAACUUUGGUCCUAUUUACGGCAAAAUUUUUCUCAUUUGCCACUUGCCCUUUUAAUGUUGUUUUGUUCUUAAUUUUCAGAAAUUUAAACUUCCAUAUAAUGAAAUCUGUCUUCUCUUUAGUUUCUUAUAUACCAAAUAAACUUUGGCCAUC